CAGAGAGUGAGAAGAUCUUUUGAAAGAGAAAUAGAGGAAGACAACUCAACCACAGAGGAGAGAAACAGAGUCUCAUUACAUUACUUCUGUUUUCUCUCUGGCCGGAGAAGAUUUCACCGAGGAAACACAGAGAAUUUAUGAGGUCUAGGUUUGAUCUGUUGAUCACUGGAGCUGUAGAGAAGCUCUGGUUAUCCUCUGUCUCUGUUUCUCUCUGUUUUCUUUCUUUCUUUUGUUCCUCAUUUGGGUUUUCCAAGCAGUUCUGUUCUAUCUAGCAGAGCAAGAACCAGAUUUUCUCUGCAUCUUCCAUGCAGUCAAUCUCACAGAUGUAUUCUGGAAUUGCUAUUGUUUACAGUGCUUCAUUGAUGACAUAAGGCAAAAUUUCUCUUCUUUGAUUUGGGGUUUAAGGGGUUUAAAAUUUUUUGGGUUUUCUUGAUUAAGAAGAUUCCCAAUUUUUCUGCUUUGUGUGGGUUCAAAGGAUUUUUCUCUUUCCAUGGAGUUUUCUUCAUUUGAAAAAAAAGAGAACCAAAAUCUUGUCGUGACUGAAAUGCUAGGCCAGCCAAGGGAAAUUUUGAAUGAACCCAAGAAAACCAGAUUGAUAAAACAAAAGAAUUUGCAAUCAGUGAGGAAAAUUCGCAUAAUUGUCAAUGAUCCUGAUGCUACUGAUUCUUCAAGUGAAGACGAAGAGAUGUCCGAUCGGAUGAGGAUGAGACAACAAAUGCGGGUUAAGCGUCAUGUCAAAGAGAUUCUUGUGCCAAAUUUUCCGAUGAAGCCAUGUGAGAAGAAA